CCAAUAGCUCCUGUGCGACGUCUUUCCUGCGAAUUGGAUGGAAUGGGACGUUGUUCGAUGAAAUAGCUCUCGUGCGACGGUUUGCAGGAAGAAAAUAGCUCACGGCCACACAUGCGAUAAAACCUUAGUCAACUAGUCCAAUUUGCGUUAAGUCAUGUCUUACCUAAUUUGGGCCCAAAUUAAUUAGCACCGCAUCUCGUGAAACUGCCCGACUAGAGCUGUCCGAAACUGCCCGACAUCUUCAGCUCCGGCGGCGGCUACGGCGGAGGAGCCCUCUUUCUCGGCGUAGCCCCCUUUCGGCGGCGGCGGCGGCCAUGGUGGUGAGUGAAUUCGAUACUCUAGUCCCAAUCCCCUCCACCUUGUAGAUCUGAGCUCUCUGUUUUGCUUGGUGAAAUCGAUAGAAGGUGAGAGGGGGCGGCGCGGUGAGAGGAGCCCAUGGUCAGGUCGAGAAGGAGCUGCCAGAUUCAGCU
rnacentral:lncRNA from 1 species